AUUGAACGCUGGCGGCAGGCUUAACACAUGCAAGUCGAGCGGAGCGAGGGUGCUUGCACCUUAGCUUAGCGGCGGACGGGUGAGUAAUGCUUAGGAAUCUGCCUAUUAGUGGGGGACAACAUUCCGAAAGGGAUGCUAAUACCGCAUACGCCCUACGGGGGAAAGCAGGGGAUCUUCGGACCUUGCGCUAAUAGAUGAGCCUAAGUCGGAUUAGCUAGUUGGUGGGGUAAAGGCCUACCAAGGCGACGAUCUGUAGCGGGUCUGAGAGGAUGCUCCGCCACACGGGGACUGAGACACGGCCCAGACUCCUACGGGAGGCAGCAGUGGGGAAUAUUGGACAAUGGGCGGAAGCCUGAUCCAGCCAUGCCGCGUGUGUGAAGAAGGCCUUUUGGUUGUAAAGCACUUUAAGCGAGGAGGAGGCUACUAGUAUUAAUACUACUGGAUAGUGGACGUUACUCGCAGAAUAAGCACCGGCUAACUCUGUGCCAGCCGCCGCCGUAA
rnacentral:rRNA from 1 species